rnacentral:rRNA from 1 species
GUGUCAGCAGCCGCGGUAAUACGUAGGGUGCAAGCGUUAAUCGGAAUUACUGGGCGUAAAGCGUGCGCAGGCGGUUUUGUAAGACAGAGGUGAAAUCCCCGGGCUCAACCUGGGAACUGCCUUUGUGACCGCAAGGCUGGAGUGCGGCAGAGGGGGAUGGAAUUCCGCGUGUAGCAGUGAAAUGCGUAGAUAUGCGGAGGAACACCGAUGGCGAAGGCAAUCCCCUGGGCCUGCACUGACGCUCAUGCACGAAAGCGUGGGGAGCAAACAGGAUUAGAUACCCUGGUAGUCCACGCCCUAAACGGCGUCAACUGGUUGUUGGGAAUUUACUUUCUCAGUAGCGAAGCUAACGCGUGAAGUUGACCGCCUGGGGAGUACGGCCGCAAGGUUAAAACUUAAAUGAAUUGGCGG